rnacentral:rRNA from 1 species
ACGGAAGGCAGCAGUCGGGAAUAUUGCGCAAUGGAGGAAACUCUGACGCAGUGACGCCGCGUAUAGGAAGAAGGUUUUCGGAUUGUAAACUAUUGUCGUGAGGGAAGAAAUUUGACAGUACCUCAGGAGAAAGCUCCGGCUAACUAUGUGCCAGCAGCCGCGGUAAUACAUAGGGAGCAAGCGUUAUCCGGAUUUAUCGGGUGUAAAGGGUGCGUAGACGGAGAAGCAAGUUAGUUGUGAAAUCCCUCGGCUUAACUGAGGAACUGCAACUAAAACUACUUCCCUUGAGUGUCGGAGAGGAAAGUGGAAUUCCUAGUGUAGCGGUGAAAUGCGUAGAUAUUAGGAAGAACACCGGCGGCGAAGGCGGCCUACUGGACGGAAACUGACGUUGAGGCUCGAAAGCGUGGGGAGCAAACAGGAUUAGAUACCCUGGUA